CGAGUGGCGAACGGGUGAGUAAUGUAUCGGAACGUGCCCAGUCGUGGGGGAUAACGCAGCGAAAGCUGUGCUAAUACCGCAUACGAUCUACGGAUGAAAGCGGGGGAUCGCAAGACCUCGCGCGAUUGGAGCGGCCGAUAUCAGAUUAGGUUGUUGGUGGGGUAAAAGCCCACCAAGCCGACGAUCUGUAGCUGGUCUGAGAGGACGACCAGCCACACUGGAACUGAGACACGGUCCAGACUCCUACGGGAGGCAGCAGUGGGGAAUUUUGGACAAUGGGCGCAAGCCUGAUCCAGCAAUGCCGCGUGCAGGAUGAAGGCCUUCGGGUUGUAAACUGCUUUUGUACGGAGCGAAACGGUCUACUCUAAUACAGUGGGCUAAUGACGGUACCGUAAGAAUAAGCACCGGCUAACUACGUGCCAGCAGCCGCGGUAAUACGUAGGGUGCAAGCGUUAAUCGGAAUUACUGGGCGUAAAGCGUGCGCAGGCGGUUAUAUAAGACAGAUGUGAAAUCCCCGGGCUCAACCUGGGACCUGCAUUUGUGACUGUAUAGCUAGAGUGCGGCAGAGGGGGAUGGAAUUCCGCGUGUAGCAGUGAAAUGCGUAGAUAUGCGGAGGAACACCGAUGGCGAAGGCAAUCCCCUGGGCCUGCACUGACGCUCAUGCACGAAAGCGUGGGGAGCAAACAGGAUUAGAUACCCUGGUAGUCCACGCCCUAAACGAUGUCAACUGGUUGUUGGGUCUUCACUGACUCAGUAACGAAGCUAACGCGUGAAGUUGACCGCCUGGGGA
rnacentral:rRNA from 1 species